CAGACACUUAACUGAGCUACCCAGGCGUCCCAACCUUUUUUUUUUUUUUUUUUUUUUUUAAAUAAAAAGCACAUUGCACAUAAGGCCAACAUACCUUUCUCUUCUUCCUCCUUUAGAAGUAACAGCUACGUCAGUAUGAGCCUCUUUUUGUCAGCUUUUUGGUUGCCUUUCUUCCUCGUAAACCUAGCUACAUGGCUUUAAAAACAUUUUUAUGUUCAGGAUGCCUGGGUGACUCAGUCGGGUGUCUAUAGCAAGACGGUGGUGUUGGCUCAUUCAAGCUUGUUGCUAUAGGCAGAUGUCGGCUCAGAUUGUUAAUGUCAUUAAAAUACUGCAUUUCUCUUUACCGAGCAAUUCCGGUGGCAUCCAUUAGCAUAGGCUGAGACUCGCCACCAGCCGAGGGCAGGCCCCGGAUCUGCCGGCCAGGGCUGAGCGGGGUGCACUGUGCCCAGGAGAGGGAUGCCAUUCACUGGUUGCCGUCCUUUUUCGUGGGGUGGGUAAGAGAGUACUGUGACGAGACGAGCCUAAGAUCUGAGCUACCGUCAGUGGGGAAGGCCACCGCCCCCCGCCUGGAGACCGAGGGCUCCUGAGACCACGAGGCCCCUCCAGCUGGCCAACUGGACCACCAGCCCCUCAGGAAAGCUGAGUUCCUGUUUGUCACCCCACACCUUUUAAAUGCAUGAGUCGCCUGCUCUCAGGAAGAAUGUUCUAAACACAUCGCCUCAGGAUUAAGCUGCUGCUCCCAUCCCCGCCAAAAACAAAAAAAAACCACACAAGUACUGGAAAACCAUCCCAUAAUCCACAGCCUUUACAAUAAAGCUGAAAAGAGCAGUCAACAUAGGACCUGUGUUUCCUCACUCCUUCCCAUCCCUCUGCUGAACACCACGUGAGGGUCAUUUUUGAUCUCUGUUGCUGACUGUGGUAGUUGGUUUUCCAUUUUGGUAUCACAUGAUCUUUGCAGCGUUGGGCUCUGUUGACCAGUCUCUUCUUGAGAUCUCUUGCGUUUUUUUGUUUUGUUUUGUUUUGUUUUACGUUUAUUUAUUUAUUUUCUGGUGGGGGGGAGAGAGAAUCCCACGCAGGCUCCACACUGUCAGCGCAGAGCCCAACACAGGGCUUGAGCUCAUGCACUGUGAGGUCAUGACCUGAGCUGAAACCAAGAGUCAGACGCUUACCCCACUGAGCUACCCGGGCGCCCCAAGAUCUUUCACCUUCUAUCCUCUUGCUUCUGCCUCUGGCUGAUCGCUGUCUGCUGAGAUACCACGCCCUGUUCCCCCGUUCACACCCUUGUUUACUCUAGUUCCUCAGUGCCUGUCCCACCCCCUGGGCAGGUCUGUCUCCCAGCUUCCUCUCCCUCCCUCCUUCUCCCGCAUCUGGCCAAUAUGCAUGCGACUCCCACCUCAAAAUCACAGGCACCUCAAAUUUAGGACCUCCAAAUCCAUCACCCAGUUUCAUCACCCGAAACUUGUGAUUCCUCUCGUAAUGCCUGUCCCAUUCACUAUCACAGACAUUUCCCUGGCUACCCAAGUCAGGAACGCGGGCACAACCCGUAGCCUUCCUUACCCACCGCCACAUGUCUGCAACUUCCGCGUGUGCUGCCUCCUGCGCAGUUGACUCCCCGCGGCCCCAGCCUCCCCAUUUCCCACCUAGGUGGUAACCUUGCUGAUCUUGCACCGUCCAGGCAGGCCUGCCUCCAAUCCGCCCUCUAGAGCGCAGCCUCGGGCCGUCUUUGUAACAUCAACACGUGUUUUAUGUUCCUCGAAAAGGAAACUGUUCCCCGAAACCUUUAUGAUAAAUUCAAACUCUGAAGUAUGGCGUACAUUCUACGAUCCCACCCCCGCUUACCCUGCGCUGUGCUUUUCUCUCCUGAUUCACGCCCCUCCCGAUACACACGUACUGCCGUGGACUGAAGGUGUCCCCCAUGAGAUUUACGUUGAAAUCCUAACCCCGAGGUGAUGGUGUUAGGAGGUGGGGCCUUAGGUCAUGAGGGUGGGGUCCUCAAAAUGGGAUCAGCGCCCUUAUUAAAGAGACCCCAGAGAGCUCCCUGGCCCCUUCCAUCGUGGAGGACACAGUGAAAAGUCAGCAGACCAACAUGCAGGAGGGCCUCUCGCCGGAACUUGACCUCACUGGCAUCCUGAUCUUAAACUUCCAACCUACAGAACUAUGAGAAGGAAGUUUCUGUUGCUUAUAAGCCACCCGGUCUACGGUGUUUUGUUAAAAGCCCCAUCGACUGAGACACUCACCUUUGCUAUGCUUCAGCCUUGUUGGAUAAUAUACUUCCUCCAAUCUCUCUCUCCUGCCUCCUAGCCUGUGUACCUGCUGUUCCCUUUACCCAGGAUUCCCCUCCAUACCACACCGCCCCAACCUGUGCUGCCUAGCUAACUCUGGUUUCAUCAUCAGGAUACAGCCUCGUUGUCACUAGUCAGGAAAUGUUCGUUAAGCUAAUAUUAUGUCCCAGACAGAAUGAUGAGGACUAAGCGUUCAGACAUGAGCCACUUCUCUCUGGGCCGAGGCGUGAGCCGGGGAGCUGCCUGAAGCCAGCAUUCCCGGCUUGCCGUGCUAGUAUUUGAAAUGUUCUUCCCAUCCUUAGACGUGUAAAAUUGUAAGCGGAAGAUCUACACCUGGUCAAAAAGGAAGUUCUCUCCGGUCAAAAUUCAUUCAAGAGAAAAACAGCAGGCACAUCGUAGUGGGGAGACAUUCUAUGAACUACCAGACCAGUAUUCUUCAAAACCGCCAAGGUCAUCAAAAAUAAGAAAGGUCUAAGAAAUUGUCACAGUCAAGAGAGCCUAAGGAGACACGACGACUAAAUGUCACAUAUCCUGCGUGGGAUUCUGGGACAGAAAAGGACAUUAGGAUAAAAGAAAGGCUAAGGAAAUCUGAGUCAAGUGUGGGCUUUAGUUAAUGAUAAUGUGUCAGCAUUGGUUUAUAGUUAUGACAAAUGUACUAAGAUAAGAUGUUAACAGUUGGGGAAGCAUGUGGGGUAUGUGGGGACUCUUAAUCUCAGGGUCGUGGCUGUGAGCCCCAUGUUGGGG